rnacentral:misc_RNA from 1 species
UAUGUACAGUACUAGCAAUCUUGGCUAUAACUUUUGUUCCAUUUCGGAGAGUGACAAACAAAGGACUAAUGGGUUUAAAAGAACUAAAAAAUUUUAAUGAAUGAGCAAUGUGAUUAGUUGCCCUAGUCUCUAUAAUCCACUUAUGAGAAUGAGAAAAGCAAGAAAAAAUAAAUUGGUUGCUUAAUUGGGAAUUAAAGAUAGAGACAUGAUUACUAACAGGAGGUGUGUAAGAGGAAGAACAAGGCUGAGUAAAGGAAAUGGAAGGAUCAAGCUUAGUUGCUUGAAGCAAUGCUAGCAAGCUUUGAUAUUGAUCUUGAGUCAGUGCAAUAGUUGAAUUGCCAGAAUUUCCUUGUGAAA